GUGUCUGUGUGUAUUAAGUGUGUCUGUGUGUAUUAAGUGUGUCUGUGUAUUAACAGUGUGUCUGUGUAUUAACAGUGUAUUGUCUGUGUGUAUUAACAGUGUAUUGUCUGUGUGUAUUAACAGUGUAUUGUCUGUGUGUAUUAACAGUGUAUUGUCUGUGUGUAUUAACAGUGUAUUGUCUGUGUGUAUUAACAGUGUAUUGUCUGUGUGUAUUAACAGUGUAUUGUCUGUGUGUAUUAACAGUGUAUUGUCUGUGUGUAUUAAUAGUGUAUUGUCUGUGUGUAUUAACAGUGUGUGUCUGUGUGUAUUAACAGUGUGUGUCUGUGUGUAUUAACAGUGUGUGUCUGUGUAUUAACAGUGUGUCUGUGUGUAUUAACAGUGUUGUGUCUGUGUGUAUUAACAGUGUAUUGUCUGUGUGUAUUAACAGUGUAUUGUCUGUGUGUAUUA
rnacentral:lncRNA from 1 species